UGUGCAAAUCUAUGCAAAACUGAUG
rnacentral:ncRNA from 3 species